CUGGCCCUCGCACCUGCAAGUGAUCACCUCAGAUUCUUCAUUCACUCAAGCUCACUACUUAAGGCAGCAGCUGGGAGUACCUUAUUCACUGGAUUAUUCUGUAACCCCAUUCUGCGUGGCCAGCCUGAAGAUCUAUUGCUGGGACUUUUACGUGAGUGUGUUGACUUUGUGUGGUGAGAACAAGGGAGAGGAUUCCCUGUGGAGAAAGCUAACCGCACGGAGAAGUCUUUUCACUUUCCUGAUUCGUUCGUGAACUCUGGUGACCGCGGACCCCUUUUCCCUCACCUGUAAACUGUGCACGAGGAGUGUUAAAUAAACAAACGUAUCUCUGUGAUUUCAGUCUGCGCCCGAGUCCCUCCUGCAUCUCGUGACAGAUUCUCUCUCUUAACAGGAUAUUAUGACGCUGACAUAGACAUGAAAUGUAUUAGCAACAAAGUGGAUAUGUGGAUACAAUUUUUAUUUUUUAAGGCUUGUAAAAAUCUAACAUUCUGGCUCUGGCUACAACAAGUUGGCCAAAACCAACCAAUAGAAAAAAAUAAGAUAUAUUUAGGAUUAGAAUACAUUUAAAAAAGGCUCAUUGCGAUAGUUCUUACCUGUCAAAUGAUCCCUCCUUUUUGGAGCUAAGCACUGUAUAGAUCAUCAUGUACACCAGUUGACUCUACUGCCUCAUUUGCUGUGACAUUAUUCAUAGUAAUUAAAUAAACCACUAAAACACCCUUGAUUAGACAAUUAUUCGUUUUGCUAUUUUCAGUAAUUCACUGCACUUUCUUUGUUAACUGUUCAUCAUUGCUGUCCUAUCUAGAAAAAAGCUCAAAAUACUCACAUGUGAGUCUUUGAAAACACAUAUCUGAUUAUACCUGUAAAUGCAAUAUAACCCUCA